CGGCUUUCUGACAACAAUCGCUCCAUGCUCGAUACUUCUUGUACUGGCUCUUUUAUGAUGAAGACUAUUGAGUUCAAAUGGGAUUUAUUGGAAAGAAUUAAACGCAACUCUGAAGAUUGGGACCUCGACGAAGGUAAGGAGUCAGGUAUAACAUUUAAGUUUGAUUGUGUUAAAUCUUUUAUGGAUACCGAUGUUUUCCGUAAAUUUAGCACUAAAUAUGGACUUGACUCUGAGAUAGUAGCUUCUUUCUGUGAAUCUUUUGCUGCUCACGUUGAUCUCCCUAAGGAGAAGUGGUUUAAAUAUCAUCCUCCCAUAGAAGUAAAAGUAGUUGCACCUAUUAAAGUUGAAGAAAAGACUAUCACUUAUAAUGAUCCUAUUGUUCCUACUGCUUAUGUUGAGAAACCACCUUUCCUUGUUAGAAUAAAGGAUCAUGCUAAAGCUUCAACUGUGGUUCGUAAAAGCAAUAUUAGAACUUAUACACCUCCUGAGCAAGUUAAAUUUGAACCUAAUAUUGCUAUUGUUAAAGAUCUCUUGGCUGAUAAUAUUGAUGGGCAUGUUAUUUAUUUCUGUGAUGAGACUGCUAGAAUUGCUAAACCUAGUGCUAAAGAUAAAUAUAGACCUGUGGUAGGCAUGCCU
rnacentral:rRNA from 1 species